AGAAAUUAAGGCAUUUCGAUCAUACAACAAUUUAGAAGUUGAAGAUGAAGCUCCAACAUUUCUUCAUUUUUAUUGCUUUGUCAAUGGCUAUCCUUGUCUCUCCAGGGGAGAGUGUAAUAAUGAGUGAAGGUGAAGGGAGGUGCAUGGCAGUGAUGGAAUCAGAUGGAUGUAACCUUUCUUCCUGCAAGCUGCGUUGCUUUCAAGUAAAGAAUGGGAAUGGAGUUUGCUUAGCCAAUUCCAAGCUUCGAGAGGGCUAUCAGUGCAUGUGCUAUUUUAAUUGUUAGUUGACUUAUUCUCAAAAACCAAACAUCUAUCAUUAGUAUCUACGAAACAGUUGUAUUUAUGUUGUCGGAAUCUCAUCUCAUCUUGUCCCAAUUCCAUAGUAAUAAUGGUGGUAGUUGUGUUUGGUUGAUGAGAUAAUUGGUGUGAUCAUAAAUCCCCUUCCCUUCUCAGUCCCUCUCAGUAUGCAGUUGACUCAACUUGAUUUUAUUUCA